rnacentral:rRNA from 1 species
GACGAACGCUGGCGGCGUGCCUAAUACAUGCAAGUCGAACGCAGUGGGGACGGGUGAGUAACACGUGGGUAACCUCCCAUCAGAGGGGAUAACACUUGGAAACAGGUGCUAAACCGAUACUGAUGGAUGGACCCGCGGUGCAUUAGCUAGUUGGUGAGGUAACGGCUCACCAAGGCCACGAUGCAUAGCCGACCGUGUGGGGUGAUCGGCAACACUGGGACUGAGACACGGCCCAGACGCCGCGGGGAGGCAGCAGUAGGGAAUCUUCGGCAAUGGACGAAAGUCUGACCGAGCAACGCCGCGUGAGAGAAGAAGGUUUGCGGAGCGUAAAACUCGGGUGUUAGAGAAGCGGUAUCUAACCAGAAAGCCACGGCUAACUACGUGCCAGCCGCCGCGGUAAUUC